AGAGUUUGAUCAUGGCUCAGGAUGAACGCUAGCUACAGGCUUAACACAUGCAAGUCGAGGGGCAGCAUGUUGGUUGCUUGCAACCAACGAUGGCGACCGGCGCACGGGUGAGUAACGCGUAUCCAACCUACCCUUGUCCAUCGGAUAACCCGUCGAAAGGCGGCCUAACACGAUAUGCGGUUCACAGCAGGCAUCUAACGUGAACGAAUGUGAAGGAGAAGGAUGGGGAUGCGUCUGAUUAGCUUGGUUGGCGGGUAACGGCCACCAAGGCUACGAUCAGUAGGGGUUCUGAGAGGAACGGUCCCCACAUUGGAACUGAGACACGGUCCAAACUCCUACGGGAGCA
rnacentral:rRNA from 1 species